rnacentral:snRNA from 1 species
UAAUGUGAAAGUUGUUUGGCCAUAAUGCCUGUCAGCCCAUUGAUCAGCAGAUAGGUGACUGUCUCCACCCUCCCUCAUUAUUCUGUGUGUCCCUCCUGAAGCUGCGCCCUUGGUAGAAGAGGAUGACUUCUCCUGAUACAAAAGGACUCUUCCUUGCACUGGGUAUAUGAUCUUAAAUCCUUUUUUCUAGGAUCUCCAAACCAGUUCUCAUGCAGGAACUCUGAAGACAGAGGGAGGUAUGGUAGAGUUGCAUUGGUGUUUGGCAUUUCAUCUGGGGGUGGGCAAUUGUAU